rnacentral:rRNA from 1 species
CGCCGCGUGAGUGAUGAAGGGUUUCGGCUCGUAAAACUCUGUUGUUGGAGAAGAACACGGUGUCAGAGUAACUGUUGACAUCUUGACGGUAUCCAACCAGAAAGYCACGGCUAACUACGUGCCAGCAGCCGCGGUAAUACGUAGGUGGCAAGCGUUGUCCGGAUUUAUUGGGCGUAAAGCGAGCGCAGGCGGUUUYUUAGGUCUGAUGUGAAAGCCUUCGGCUUAACCGGAGAAGUGCAUCGGAAACCRGGAGACUUGAGUGCAGAAGAGGACAGUGGAACUCCAUGUGUAGCGGUG